GCCCGGCUAGGUACAUAGCUCAAUCGGUAGAGCGAGCGUGAGACUCUUAAUCUCAAGGUUCCAUUGUUGUGGGUUAUGUUCAUUGAACCCAACCAGACCCCCACGUCGGGCU